rnacentral:rRNA from 1 species
AGAGUUUGAUCCUGGCUCAGAACGAACGCUGGUGGCGGGCCUAAUACAUGCAAGUCGAACGAGAAAGCUACUUCGGUAGUGAUUACAGUGGCGCACGGGUGAGUAACACGUAGGUGACCUACCUUCUAGUGGGGGACAACCCGGGGAAACUCGGGCUAAUACCGCAUAAGCUGGGCUAUUUUGAAUAUUGCUCAGGAAAGAUUUAUCGCUAGAAGCAGGGCUUGCGGAUCAUUAGCUUGAUGGUGGGGUAAAGGCCUACCAUGGCUACGAUGAAUAGCUGGUCUGAGAGGAUGAUCAGUCACACUGGAACUGAGACACGGUCCAGACUCCUACGGGAGGCAGCAGUAGGGAAUAUUGCGCAAUGGGGGAAACCCUGACGCAGCCACGCCACGUGAGUGAGGAAGGCCUUCGGGUUGUAAAGCUCUGUCAGUAGGGAAAAAUUGCCCGCAAGGGAGUUGAUGGUACCUACAAAGGAAGCACCGGCUAACUUCGUGCCAGCAGCCGCGGUAAUACGAAGGGUGCAAGCGUUGUUCGGAUUUAUUGGGCGUAGAGCGUACGUAGGCGGUUUUGUAAGUCAGGUGUGAAAUCUUGGGGCUCAACCCCGAAACUGCGCCUGAAACUACAAAACUAGAAUCUUGGAGGGGAAGGUAGAAUUUCGCAUGUAGGGGUAAAAUCCGUAGAGAUGCGAAGGAACACCAGAGGCGAAGGCGACCUUCUGGACAAGUAUUGACGCUGAGGUACGAAAGCGUGGGGAGCAAACAGGAUUAGAUACCCUGGUAGUCCACGCUGUAAACGAUGAGCACUAGUUAUAGCGGGUAUUAACCCCUGCUGUGACGUAGCUAACGCAUUAAGUGCUCCGCCUGGGGAGUACGGUCGCAAGACUAAAACUCAAAGGAAUUGACGGGGGCCCGCACAAGCGGUGGAUUAUGUGGUUUAAUUCGAAGCAACGCGCAGAACCUUACCUGGGCUUGAAAUCCGGAGAAUCUUCUAGAGAUAGAGGAGUGCCCUUCGGGGAAUUCCGUGACAGGCGCUGCAUGGCUGUCGUCAGCUCGUGUUGUGAAAUGUUGGGUUAAGUCUCGCAACGAGCGCAACCCUCGUCCUUAGCUGCCAGCAUUAAGUUGGGCACUCUAGGGAGACUGCCUGGGUUAACCAGGAGGAAGGUGGGGAUGACGUCAAGUCCUCAUGGCCCUUAUGUCCAGGGCUACACACGUAAUACAAUGGCCAGUACAGAGGGAAGCGAACCAGCGAUGGGGAGCAAAUCUCAAAAAGCUGGUCUCAGUCCGGAUUGGAGUCUGCAACUCGACUCCAUGAAGUUGGAAUCGCUAGUAAUCGUAGAUCAGCACGCUACGGUGAAUACGUUCCCGGGCCUUGUACACACCGCCCGUCACACCAUGGGAGUUGGCUCAACCUUAAGCCGUGACCUUAACCUUCGGGAGAGGAGCGUCUACGGUGGGGCCGAUGACUGGGGUGAAGUCGUAAACAAGGUA